rnacentral:tRNA from 1 species
AAAAAAUUAGUUAAAUUAUUAUAACAUAAGUUUGUCAAACUUAAAUUAUCUCCCAAGAUACUUUUUA